rnacentral:sRNA from 1 species
CCCGGAGGAGGACGCGAGCCCCUUGCGGGCGGUCAUCACAGCCCAGCCUCGGGGCUGCCACCGCGCGGUGCGCCCGUGCACCCUCGGUCCCCGCGUCCACUGAACGCCGCGCUCGGGGAUGGGGCCCGGCCGGCCGGCCCCGCGCCCUGGCCUCGUCACCUGCUGUGCUGCGUCCUGCUCCUCGGGGGCCUGCACCUCGGCCGUCCCGGCGCCCCUGGGGACGCCGCCCUCCCGGAACCCAACGUCUUCCUCAUCUUCAGUCAUGGACUGCAGGGCUGCCUGGAGGCCCAGGGUGGGCAGGUCAGAGUCACCCCGGCUUGCAAUACCAGUCUCCCUGCCCAGCGCUGGAAGUGGGUCUCCCGAAACCGGCUCUUCAACCUGGGUACCAUGCAGUGCCUGGGCACAGGCUGGCCAGGCACCAACACCACGGCCUCCCUGGGCAUGUACGAGUGUGACCGGGAGGCACUGAAUCUUCGCUGGCAUUGUCGUACACUGGGUGACCAGCUGUCCUUGCUCCUGGGAGCCCGCACCAGCAACAUAUCCAAGCCUGGCACCCUUGAGCGUGGUGACCAGACCCGCAGUGGCCAGUGGCGCAUCUAUGGCAGCGAGGAGGACCUAUGUGCUCUGCCCUACCAUGAGGUCUACACCAUCCAGGGGAACUCUCACGGAAAGCCGUGCACCAUCCCCUUCAAAUAUGACAACCAGUGGUUCCACGGCUGUACCAGCACGGGCCGCGAAGACGGUCACCUGUGGUGUGCCACCACCCAGGACUACGGCAAAGACGAGCGUUGGGGCUUCUGCCCCAUCAAGAGUAACGACUGCGAGACCUUCUGGGACAAGGACCAGCUGACUGACAGCUGCUACCAGUUUAACUUCCAGUCCACGCUGUCGUGGAGGGAGGCCUGGGCCAGCUGCGAGCAGCAGGGUGCGGAUCUGCUGAGCAUCACGGAGAUCCACGAGCAGACCUACAUCAACGGCCUCCUCACUGGGUACAGCUCCACCCUGUGGAUCGGCUUGAAUGACUUGGACACGAGCGGAGGCUGGCAGUGGUCGGACAACUCGCCCCUCAAGUAUCUCAACUGGGAGAGUGACCAGCCGGACAACCCCAGUGAGGAGAACUGUGGAGUGAUCCGCACUGAGUCCUCGGGCGGCUGGCAGAACCGCGACUGCAGCAUCGCGCUGCCCUACGUGUGCAAGAAGAAGCCCAAUGCCACGGCCGAGCCCACCCCUCCAGACAGGUGGGCCAAUGUGAAGGUGGAGUGCGAGCCGAGCUGGCAGCCCUUCCAGGGCCACUGCUACCGCCUGCAGGCGGAGAAGCGCAGCUGGCAGGAGUCCAAGAAGGCAUGUCUACGGGGCGGUGGCGACCUGGUCAGCAUCCACAGCAUGGCAGAGCUGGAAUUCAUCACCAAGCAGAUCAAGCAAGAGGUGGAGGAGCUGUGGAUCGGCCUCAACGAUUUGAAACUGCAGAUGAAUUUUGAGUGGUCUGACGGGAGCCUUGUGAGCUUCACCCACUGGCACCCCUUUGAGCCCAACAACUUCCGGGACAGUCUGGAGGACUGUGUCACCAUCUGGGGCCCGGAAGGCCGCUGGAAUGACAGUCCCUGUAACCAGUCCUUGCCAUCCAUCUGCAAGAAGGCAGGCCAGCUGAGCCAGGGGGCCGCCGAGGAGGACCAUGGCUGCCGGAAGGGUUGGACAUGGCACAGCCCAUCCUGCUACUGGCUGGGAGAGGACCAAGUGACCUACAGUGAGGCCCGGCGCCUGUGCACCGACCAUGGCUCUCAGCUGGUCACCAUCACCAACAGGUUCGAGCAGGCCUUCGUUAGCAGCCUCAUCUACAACUGGGAGGGCGAGUACUUCUGGACGGCCCUGCAGGACCUCAACAGCACCGGCUCCUUCCGCUGGCUCAGUGGGGAUGAAGUCAUGUACACCCACUGGAACCGGGACCAGCCUGGUGAGCCCCUUCUUUGACUUGCCUUGGUGAAGCGAGGAGGGAGGCGGGGGUGGACUGGCCCUGCCGGCACCGA